UUGAGGAAGAUAAUGACGGUACUCAACAAGGAAGUGACGGCUAACUACGUGCCAGCAGCCGCGGUAAAACGUAGGUCACAAGCGUUGUCCGGAAUUACUGGGUGUAAAGGGAGCGCAGGCGGGAAGACAAGUUGGAAGUGAAAUCCAUGGGCUCAACCCAUGAACUGCUUUCAAAACUGUUUUUCUUGAGUAGUGCAGAGGUAGGCGGAAUUCCCGGUGUAGCGGUGGAAUGCGUAGAUAUCGGGAGGAACACCAGUGGCGAAGGCGGCCUACUGGGCACCAACUGACGCUGAGGCUCGAAAGUGUGGGUAGCAAACAGGAUUAGAUACCCUGGUAGUCCACACCGUAAACGAUGAUUACUAGGUGUUGGAGGAUUGACCCCUUCAGUGCCGCAGUUAACACAAUAAGUAAUCCACCUGGGGAGUACGACCGCAAGGUUGAAACUCAAAGGAAUUGACGGGGGCCCGCACAAGCAGUGGAGUAUGUGGUUUAAUUCGACGCAACGCGAAGAACCUUACCAAGUCUUGACAUCCYGYGACGAUGCUGGAAAYAGUAUUUUYCUUCGGAACGCRGAGACAGGUGGUGCAUGGUUGUCGUCAGCUCGUGUCGUGAGAUGUUGGGUUAAGUCCCGCAACGAGCGCAACCCUUAUGGUCAGUUACUACGCAAGAGGACUCUGGCCAGACUGC
rnacentral:rRNA from 1 species